GUCUGUUUGGAGAUAUAAAGAGUCUGGCCUGCCCACUGAUUUUUUAAAGGGCCGCGGUAAUCUGACCGUGCAAAGGUAGCAUAAUCGUUAGUUUUUUAAUUGGAAUCUUGUAUGAAUGGUUGAACAAAAGAACAGCUGUCUCUAUACUUUUUUCUGAAUUUAACUUUUAAGUGAAAAGGCUUAAAUGCUUUAAGAAGACGAUAAGACCCUAUAAAGCUUAAUAAGCUUUUGUAAAAAACUGAAUUUAAAAAAUAAAAGUUCAGUACAAGAUGCUUAUUUUGUUGGGGCGACAAUGAUAAAGUGUUUGUUAACUGUUAAAAAAAAAGACAAAAUUAAAUGGUUGAAAAUUGUGGUUUAAAUGAUCCUCCUGUGGAGAUUAAAAGUUUAAGUUACUUUAGGGAUAACAGCGUUAUUUCUUUUGAGAGUCCUUAUCGAAAAAGAAGUUUGCGACCUCGAUGUUGAAUUAAAAUUUCUAUAUAAUUGCAGAGGUUAUAAUAGAAGGUCUGUUCGACCUUUAAAUUUUU
rnacentral:rRNA from 1 species